rnacentral:lncRNA from 1 species
UUAGACGACAUAUGGAAACUUGUCAGACAGAACACGCGCCACAAGACCCAACACAAACCUAACUCUCACAAUAUGGUUCUGGACCUUCCAGUAUAACAUCAUUCAGAUAUUCACAACAGAACAUGCGAGAAGGAUUGGCUCGGUAUAUUGCUGCAGCAGAACAACCUUUAACAUUUUCAGAAGAUGAACGUCUAAUAAUUUUUUUGCAAAGGUAUGUUCAGCCUCAACUUAAGAAAGUGCCUAGAAAUACAUUAAAACGUGAUUUAACUAAAAUUUUUCAUGACAUGAAAAAACUUUUAAUUAAUAUUUUUAUCAAUUUUAAUGGUGUUAUUUCAAUUUCUUCUGAUUGUUGGACUGGUAUUAAUAUGGUUGGUUAUUUUUGUGUGACUUUGCACUCUAUACAUGAGAUUAAUGGUAAAUGGAGGUUGGAAAAAAAAUUGCUUGCAUUUCGUGAAUUAGAAUAUCCUCACACUGGUUCAGUAAUUUAUGUAGCUAUAAUGUCUAUUUUAAGAGAAUAUAAAAUUACUGAUAAAUUGUUUAGCAUAUCAUUUGAUAAUGCAUCUGCCAAUACAGCGACAAUUGAUAUGUUUUUACGGAAUAUUUCUACUCUCAUGCCUGCAUGUGGUUCAAAAAGUUUUCAUGUGAGAUGUGUGUAUCAUAUUAUUAAUUUAAUUGUUCAAGCUGGUAUGACUUAUAUAAAUCAUUAUUUAGAAAAAAUUAGAGCAGCCAUUUUAUAUAUUAGAGCACCUUCAAGACGUCAACAAUUUUUGGAGACGUUGAAAAUUUUUGGAUUGAAAAGGAGAAAAUUCAACCUUGACAUGAAAGUUCGUUGGAAUUCUACGUAUUUAAUGUUGCUUUCUUGUCAAAACUAUUCUGAAGCAAUUUCUAGUUUUUACAAUGAGAGAAUGAAUGAUGAAGAUUAUCAUAUCACUGAUUAUGAUUGGAAUGUUGCAUUUAAAUUUAUGGAUUUUUUAAAGGUAUUUUAUGAUGCUACUCUUCCAUGUUCUACUGUUUAUGAGCCUACUUCAUGUAGAGUGUUAAUGCACUUGUAUAAUAUAAGUUAUACUUUUAAGACUUUUAGAGAGAAUAUUAUGUUUAAAAAUAUUUGUGAUACCAUGGAGGAAAAAUUCCAAAAAUAUUGGAAAGAUAUUCCCCACCUAUUUAUUUUUGCAACAGUGUUGGAUCCUACAAUCAAGGAAGUUGGUGCAAAAGUUUUAGUUGAGGGUAUUAGUGAAAAUUUACAAACCGGGCUUGAUACAAAUUUUGAUACAAUUAUGUCCUCUAUGCAUGAACUUUUUAAUUUUUAUCGAAAUAAAUUCGAAUCAAGCAAUACAUAUUCUAAUGUUCAACAAGCAUCGACUUCUUAUAAAAAUCCAGCUCACCUUUUGUUACUCAAAGGUAAGGGUGUUGCCUCUAGUAUUGAUACUAAUCGUAAUGAAUUGCAAAGAUAUUGUUCUGCCAAUCUUGAAGAUUUAGCAACUCCUUCACAAUUGUAAAAUUUUGAUAUUUUAGAAUUUUGGAUGGGUAAGACAUCUUUUUUUCCCUAUGUUAUUCAUUAUGGCUCGUGAUCCACUAACCCCUCCAGCUUCGACUGUAGCAUCAGAAUCAGCUUUUAGUACA